CUUCUGUUUGCCUUGCUAUGCUCCCCAGUACCAAUGGAUGUAACAGGCUGCGCGUACUGCUGUCAGCACUGUAUGACUCUACACACUGAAGGAUUUCUUCAGCUAAGGGUAUAUAAGCAAGGGAAGCUAAGACAGUGCUAGAACAGUCUCACAUCACCACAAGGAAAAAACACUGUGAUAUAAUCUUCUGUGUUAUCAUAAAAUGUCUGAAAAUAAAAUACAAGCAUAUAAACACAUGUAGUAUAACUGCAAUUUUAAACAUCUGGAAGUCAGGCAGCCUCACUGGCAAAGGUUCCCGGAGUAAUCGCCCACCUUGCUCUGCGGGGAGCAAAGGUGAGUUCUGAAAUUCCCCAGCACUAAGUUCCCAGAAACCUCAUGGAGACAAAAUAUUUCCUGCAGAUAACAUAGCUGAGACUUGAUCUUAGUCUACUGCUAAAUGAUUAAUACACACAGAGCUGAGCUCUGCCCCUUGCCGUGUGUACAGUGCUUCCUCGUUCACCAGUGAGCAGAGGGAAGAAGGCUGACCUGGUUUACGUCGCAGAAGGGACAAGCUGUUUCCCAAACGUGUAGCACUAGACUGCUGGAUCCUCAUCUGUUCAUUCCCUGACUUUUGAAUGANNNNNNNNNNNNNNNNNNNNNNNNNNNNNNNNNNNNNNNNNNNNNNUGAAUGCUGAGACAUACCAGCUACGGUAAUUAGGAGUCUAAAACAUAACCUUUAGCAUUUUAGAUCCCCUUUCCAAUAGCAGGUCUCUUGAUGCAGCUGCUGUGCUGGUGGAUGAUGGAGCAGUUGCUGAAUAGAAAAAUGAAGGCAACGCCUAGCAAUACCAUAACCAUGCCAAAUGCCACUGACGUUACAGACAGUGAUCACUGGCGUCUAUUGAUCCACCCCCAACUCCAUGGGAUCAACUGGAUAAAAGGAAAACAAGAGUUUGUACAACUGGCAAAUGAAGCAGAGCUCAAAGGAUCUGACCAAAGAAUAUCAGUGUCGGAGGCCAGGUCAGUAUGCUCAAAAUGUGUGCAGUCAGUAAAAUCAUUACAGAAAUCUCUCUCAAGGGUUGUGCUUUUGCAGUUAGGCUGCAGGGAUUUUGUGGGCAUGGAGCUGCAAACUGUGACCCAGCUGGAUGGCUGUCCUCACCUUGGCCUUGCCCUACAGCUGCCUAACGGAGCUGGGGAUGUUCCCGGGGCUUCAUGCAGUUAUUGUGCCUGCGCUGUCCUCACGACUGGAAGGAAGGUCCUCCCAAUGAAACAAGGUAAUGAUGGACUAGGCAUUAAUAGCACACGUGU
ensembl:lncRNA